GGGAUGGGGGGGAUGGGGGGCGGGGAGGUGGUCACGGAUGCAGAGGCUGUUCUGGCUGCUGAGGCAAAGGGCCCGUCCCAAGCCCCGCAUGGGCUCCUACUGCACUCCAGGAUUUGGGGGAAUGCAGAAUCGUGGUCUUUGAGCUUUCAUUAAUUCAAUAAAAAUUUCUCAAAAGCCUAAAUUCUAGACCCAAGACAGUGGGAAUUAAACAGAGCUGAAUAUGACGCUAUUGGCUAUACCAAGACCACGCCUGAGCAUUGCAUGCACGCUCCAGCUAUGCAUAAAUUAUUUAUUUUAAAAGAAGGAAGGGAGGGAGGGAAACAAGGUGUUUCUUAACCGUAAAGGCGGGGAGGAGGGGAGAGGCAACUUGUUGCUUUCACUGGCAACAGUUAACUCUAUAAGCAACUUCCUCACUUAAAAGAAAAACAAAUGAAGUAGAGUGGUAGGCUUUUUGAAAGGAGGAGCAGAGAGCUUUGGUGAAUGGAAACCUGGCUUUUAUUUACCUUAAGGCCUUGUUAAAACACAUUUGCCUUGAGAUAAAAGGUUUUCUUUUGGGACGAUCCCAAAAUGACUUUGCUUGAUUCAAUUAAGCAAGACCUAACGAAAGAGAAUUCCAGCUUCAAGAUAUGCAUCAUCUCACCAGGCUGUGGGAAGCAGGUAGAGUCUUGGUUUCUGAACUCUGAACGCUAUUGAGUAACCUGUUCACCUGUCAAAUCCCUAAUCCCCGCAUGAAGGUGUACAGAUGGUAUUGGAGUAGAACACGAAACUGAGAGGUGAAGCCAGCUGGACUCCUGGGACCGGUCGCAACUUGGAGAACUUUUAUGUCUUACAGGAGGAUUGUAAAACGCACCAAUGGGUGCUCUGUAGCUAGCUAUAGUUUGUAACAUGCACCAAUCAGUGCUCCGUAAAAACGCACCAAUAGGUGCUGUGUAACUAGAGGUUUGUAAAAUGGACCAAUCAGAACUCUGUAAAAUGGACCAAUCAGCACUCUGUAAAAUGGACCAAUCAGGAGGACAGAGGCGGGGACAGAUAAGGGAAUAAAAGCUGGCCACCCCCCAGCCAGCAGAGGCAACA